GGAGCGGUAGUGGGAUCGGUUCAACCGGUCUGUCGUACCAGGGCUCGCGGGUUCGAGCCCGGUCCGCUCCG
rnacentral:tRNA from 1 species